CUACGGGGGGCUGCAGCAGCGGAACUUUUACAAUGCACGAAAGUGUGAUAAAGCGAACCAAAGUGCCUUUCGUUUAGAAAGGCUUUUUCUUAGCGUAAAAACCUAGGAGAAUAAGGACUGGGAAAGAUCGGUGCCAGUCGCCGCGGUAAUACCGACAGUUCAAGUUGCAUCCAGUUUUAUUGGGUCUAAAACAUCCGUAGCUUGGAAUUUAAGUCUCUUGUGAAAUCUCACGUCUCAAGCGUGGUGAAGGGCAGGAGAUACUGGGUUCCUAGAGAUCGGUAGACGUAAGGAGUACGGCCGGGGUAACGGUAAAAUGUGUUAAUCCUGGUUGGACUAACAAUCAGCGAAGGCACCUUACGAGGACGAAUCUGACAGUGAGGGAUGAAGGCCAGGGGCGCAAAACGGAUUAGAUACCCCCGUAGUC
rnacentral:rRNA from 1 species